ensembl:lncRNA
CAACCAGAAGGGAUGGAACCAGGUUCCACCCCUCCCUAAGCCUCAUUUAAGGACUGGCUGCCCCAGGGAGAGGAUCUCUACCUGGAGAUCCCUUCUUUUGGAGUAUUUGGCAAGCCCUGAUCCUUGGGAUGGAUUGAGCCCAUCAGGCACUGGAAACCCUGAAGGAGACGAGCAAGGAGAUGAGCAAGCAUUAAAUCACCUAGAAAAAUGGCCACGGAGGAGUGCUGAGACAGUGGCUCAGGCUGCCCAGGGAGGUGAGGGAGUCGCUGUCACUGGAGGUGUUCAAGAACUGUGGAGACGUGGCACUGAGGGGACACAGCCAAUGAAGCUGAAAAAAAACCAACCCGCACCCCAAGGUGCCACCAGGAGGACUCUGUCCCGACAGCCAUGGUGGGAACAGCUCCCGCACCCCCCAGUGCCAUCUCCGAGCUCUGCCAGGAGGAGAGAAGCAAAAAAACACUCGAGCAGCCAGGAGACGAUCCCUCCAUCGAUUGUGUAAACUGUCAGUGGAGUGGCAAGGAGCAUUUUUUUUUAUUUAUUUCUAUCCCAGGGAAUAAUCCAGCCCGAUAAUUAGUACAUAAGAGAUAAGUGGAAAAUGAGACAUCUAGCGAGGGUGGUUCGAGGCUCCUCAUGACAUUGAUAAUGUGCAGAUACAUAGAUCACUGUCGGGGCCAACCGCCACCACGAGCCCGUGUCUUCCCAUUGCCUCAUCAAUCCAUCAUCCGCUUAGCUGCUGACACCUUGGCAGGCACACACCACCGGCCCCGCAUUAGAAUUGCAAGGAGCGGGCUCCACCGGGGAAUACAGAUUUAAAAAUCUAAGAUUCAAAUUUGUUUAAGUAUUGUGAACAGCAAUUCCCUCGCAAGGCAUCUUCAUUGCCCUUUUGCCAAGGGGGAACAGUUGGGUCUUUGUUAGAAGUACAAAUUGCUUCUUAAUGCAAAGGAUAAAGCGGAGCCCAGGCACCUCCUUAGAAUUCCUCCUGGCUCCCGCUAAUGCUGCUGCAUGUCAAUUUUAAUUUUUUGAAAUUUAAACCGAGGGCUUUGUGUCUAAGCUCCAUUUCGUUGGGAG